rnacentral:tRNA from 1 species
GGAGGGAUGGCCGAGUGGACGAUGGCGGCGGUCUUGAAAACCGCUGUGACCUUAUGGUCACCGGGGGUUCAAAUCCCUCUCCCUCCG